UUCAAUCAAAUGUCAUCUAAACCCCAUUUUCACGUUGGCGGGCUGAAUUGCGCCUCAAUUUCACUCAAAGUAAAUUUGGGAAAGUUAGAAACCCUUGUGAAAAAAAUUAUAAUCCUUUCAGCUACCUCUCUUUCCGCCACUCGCACUCUUCCAUUUCCUUUGUCAUCUUUGAUUCUGAGAUCUGUACCACUUCCGGACAAUUUAAGUCUUCCAAGCUAUGGGUUCGGGAAUUAUAAUUCUUGUUGAUGAUAAGGUGGAUCUGAUGGAAGAGAUUUUUGCAAAGUUGCUCGACAAGCUCCUCAAUUUGAUUCCCGGCAUCAAUGAAAUUUCAAGCCUCCCAAUCUGAUUCAUGGGCCGACAUGCUAGGAUAAAAAAAAUACAUUUUAUUCAAGCUUGGAAGAAUGAACAGAAUAAAUAUGGAGGGUUCUUCAAGCCUUGUGCCUACAAUGAUGAGAAAGCUACCAUGGGACUCUACUGUCUUUCUUGCUUCAAGAGUGGUUCUACGCAUUUUGCAAUGAAGAACCAUCAAAUCAGCAGACGUGUGAUCUACCCAAGUUCAGUGAAGAACUCUUUAACAUAAACAACUCUGUUUCAUUGCUUCUUAGGCAAUAAUUAAUUUUGCUUCAACUGUAUAGGUUGCUAGUGAUUCUUUGUUUAGAUUUACUUAUCCAAGCAGUUCAUAGAUAUGUGGAAGACUUUCCAUCUGUAUCUCAGAACAUAGAAAUUAAUGUUUAAUUUCCCACGCAACAACUCAUGGUCUUCAAUCCAUGUUGCCAUUUCAAAACACGAUGCAUGUAGCUCGUUCUUGCCAAUGGUUAACUCCAAAGGGAUCUUGCUUGAUCCUUUGCCAGUGUUUAUGCGUGUAGCAUCAAUAUUUAGCAUAUCUUCAUUUUCUUGAAUCAAGAACUAUUACUUAUGUACCUUUGCAAGUACCAUAAGUUUUUCUUGAUCUCAAUCUAGUUGAUCUUUACUUAGAUCAAUAGAGAUUGGUAUAUGUUCGUCAUGCCUAAAGCCAUACGAUACAUUUUUGGGGAUCCUUAUCAUACAUGAUAAAUUCCUUUGCAGAAUAAUUCCCAAUUGAAUUCUAUUUAUGUAACUUUAGCUAUCCAAUUUCAGUAGAUACUGAAUCCAGCUAAAUUCUUCGACAUAUAAUAUAGGUGAAGAAUCUCGUUAGAUUCUUUGAUGUUUAACUUAGUAAAUUCUUAUACAUAGUUCAAACAUUUAUUACUUAGAUUUAUUCACAUGGGUCGAAUAUCUCCAAUGGAGUCUUUCGUGUUUGAUUUAGUAAAUGUCAUUACUUAAUCUAAAACAAUAUUAUAAGAUCUUUGUAAACAGAUCUUAAUACCCAUUAUGUACUAAGUUUCGCCUUGGUCCAUCAUUGAUGAAUAUUUUCAAAUCCAAGUCAUUAGCUAGCAUUUGAAUGUUAUUUCACAAUAGAGAGAUAUGUGUGUGAUAGACAUAGGACCAAUUAAGUUUUACGUACUCCCACUGAACUUCUUAUACAUUUAUAAGAUUCAUGUACAUUUUAUGAAACUAAAAUACUUUUAGCUUCACUAAAAUAUAGUUCUAAUUCCCAAUUGCUUGCUUAAAUCCAUACCCGAAUUUCAUAAGCUAGCAUUCAUUUUAAGUGUUAUUUGGAUCCACAAAUCCUAUGACAUACCAUGUACAUAGUUUCUUCCAACACUUGAUUGAGGAAGAUGUUUUGUCAUCCAAUUGCAAUAUGUACCAAUUUGCAAUCAUUGCUUGAUUUAUAGACUCGAGCAUUACGAUUAUGCAUGAGGUUUCAACACAAUCCACGUCGUAAAUUUGCUUGUAACCUUUAGCAACUAAUCUAGAUUUGUGUGUGAAGACACAAUUCUAUGUUUGAUGGUUUUUAUCCUUAAAACCAAUUUACAACCAAUAGGUGUGAAACUUAUUCUUGCAAAUCAACAAAAUUUCAAUUUUGUCAUCAAAACACUAUGUAUUUUUAUGGCCUUUAACCAAUUAAACAUUAAGUCUAUAUAUGGCCUCUAACCAUUUUAGGGAGUCUACAUUUCGUCAUAGCUUUUUACAAGUCACAAACUCAUUACCAUUCUUGAUAAUAGUCUGCCUGCAAGUUGUAGGUUUCUUCACUAUCUAAUAGAAGAUUCUCAUAGUUUCAUUGAUCUGAACUCUAUGCCUGCAAGUUGUAGGUUUCUUCACUAUCUAAUAGAAGAUUCUCAUAGUUUCAUUGAUCUGAACUCUAUGCCUACAUAGGUAUAGAACAUCAAAUAAUAGAAUAUUAACAGACACUUUAAAGUCCUUUGAAUAUUCUGUUCUCCUUGAAGCACUUGUAAAGUCUUCUAAGAGAUGUCUAUUCUUAAAAGCCACUUCUAAAUUCCUUAAAGAAUAAGUGUUCGGAUUUUCUAAAGAACUUCGAAAAGCCUCCGGAAUAUCCGUUUAUGUUUGUUGUUCGCCUCGAAGACUUUCGAGUUCUAUUUUCUCCCACUUGUCAUUUUGGAAACGGAUCUACAAAAGGACACCAUUUCGGGAAAACAAACAUUAUGUUCUCAAAAAUUCGUGGUAGAAACAAUACCCUUGUGUCUUAUUUGAAUAAAUCACAAUGAAACAUAUAUCUAUACUUGGGCCUUAGUUUGUUGAAUAACAAAUAGUAAGCUCCCACUGAGUUUAGCAACUCUUUAGAUAUAUAUAAUUGAAAAAGUAUUCUGAAAUUAUUUUUUCAAUAGUUUUGACGAAUUUGGUUUAGUUUGGUGGUAGUUGAGCAUUUUGUUUAGAAAUUAGAGGAAAAUUUUGUAUGAUUCAUCCUUGAUCGAAUCAAGUACUAAUUGACUCCGAUCUUUCCAAUUUAGAUAUACCAUAUCUUAUGGAGCUCGAUCGUGAAAUUACAACACUCUAUGAUUUCUUGCCAAGUGGAUGUUUUUAUACUUUUCUAUGAAUCUUUGAACUAGCCAAACAGAUUCAAACUUAUAUCACUUUGAGUAAAUAAAUCCAUAUUUACUCAAAACCAUGUGAAAUAAUAAAGUCAUAAAAUCUUUCUUUAGCUUUGAACUAUAUUGUCUAGGUGUUCUAACAAUAGUUCAUAUCUUUUGUUACUUUCAACAAGUAAGACUAGCUUGUCUUGAAUGAUCUAGAAAUCAAUCAACUUUCAAAAGUCCAUCAAAAUAGAGCUUUAGAACGUUAACUUGUUGAUAUGGUCUAAGCAACAAUGGCAAAGAUUAGUAGAACUCAAAUCAAGGGGUUGAUUUGAACCUAAUAAAGUUCUUAUUGUUAAAGAGUUGUUUGUUUUAUUCGAAUUUAUUGUUCCGGCAGGUGUGAAUAAAAUGAUUCCAAGAUCCUUAAAUCAUUGAAGAAUUAAGCACAUUAUGUAUUUAGACUCAAUUCUAAAAUAUUUUAGGUAAGCAAACCCUUUGCUAAUAGUCUAGAAACUACUCUUGGUUGAUAGGUACGUCUAAGAACUUAUUAGGUAAACCUAUCUGUUUUGCCACGACAUAAAAGGACUCCUUAUUAGGUUAUGAUACAUAUGACAAUUCAUAAAUCAUGCGGAAAAAACCAUUAAGCCAGGAAUACAUAUUAUUUACACAUAAUCAUUUAGCAUAGUUUAGAUGCAUACUCUUUGUUGCGUGCCUUCCCUAGCUGCGCCCGAACCGAACAAGAACAAGUCUUUAGGACUCCAAGUGUCGUCCCUCCGUAGAUAGUCCACAGCACGUCCGGAUCCGCCUUAAGAUUGACCAACUAGAAUCGCCCUUAAGGUACUCUGAAUUUUCGGCACUUUAUAGGCAAUUGUAUGACUGAAUUUUGCUCUCAAAAACUCACUUUGAAUACUUGAAUGCUCGAUGUAAAUAUGUGACCCUAGGCACCUAUUUAUAGAGUUAUGGAAAAGGAUUUGGAAUCCUAUUAGUAUACUAAUUUAUUUAAUUAUAAUCUUACUAGGACUCUAAUUAAAUAAACUAAAUCUUUUAGGAUUAGAUUUAAUCAUAUGACAAAUCCCGGUAGCUUUAGGAUUCGAGUAGCACACAAACACACACGCACGCACAGCAGCCCACGAGGGGCGCCAUGCGCGCGCGCGCAGCCCGCAAGCUCGCAGCCCACUGCCGCAAGCCCACACGCUGCCGUAGCCUUGGCGCGCGCUGGGCCUGCCUUGCGGUGGGCCUGGCGCAGCCUUGGCUGGUGCGUUUGUGGCGCGCUGGCUUGCUGGGCGAGGGCCCGGCUUCGUGCUGGGCCUUCGUCUGGCAGGCCUCGUCCGAUGCUAAUUCGUACGAUACGCUUCCGAUUAAUUUCCCGAUUCCGGAAUUCAUUUCUGAUACGAACAAUAUUCAACAUUUCCGAUUCCGGAAUCAAUUUCCGUUUCGAACAAAUAUUUAAUAUUUCCGUUUCCGGAAUUAUUUUCCGAUUCCGAUAAUAUUUCCGAUUCUGACAAUAUUUCCGUUUCCGGCAAUAUUUCCGAUUCCGGCAAUAUUUCCAUUUCCGAUAAUAUUUUCCGAUACGUACCAUGUUUCCGUUUCCGGCAACAUCUACGACUUGGAUAAUAUUUAUAUUUCCGAUACGAUCCAUAUUUCCGUUUCCGGCAAUAUCAUCGUUUCCGGAGUAUUCAUUUCUUGCCUGUGACGAUCUCAGCUCCCACUGAAACCAAGAUCCGUCGAUUCCGAAUAUCCAUAGAUGGAGUAUUUAAUGCCAUUAAAUACUUGAUCCGUUUACGUACUAUUUGUGUGAUCCUACGGGUUCAGUCAAUAGUAAGCUGUGGAUUAAUAUCAUUAAUUCCACUUGAAUUGAAGCGGCCUCUAGCUAGGCAUUCAGCUCACUUGAUCUCACUGAAUUAUUAACUUGUUAAUUAAUACUGAACCGCAUUUAUUAGACUUAACAUUGAAUGCAUACUUGGACCAAGGGCAUUAUUUCCUUCAGUCUCCCACUUGUCCUUAGGGACAAGUGUGCAUUUCCUAAUUCCUUUGUCGCUCGAUGCUUGCUCUUGAACAUAAGGUAAGAGUUGUCAUCCUUAUUAUGUCCAGAGGUGUUCCUCGGUUACAGAGUUCAACUGAUCAAAUAAACAGAUAAUCAUAGCCUAUGAUUCAUCCGAGCACGGCCAUGCAUUUCACAGUUUCUAGCUCUCCGAGUGGCCUUGUACAACUUUUAAGCAUCUCAUCCCGAUUUAUGGGAGGAUAAUCCCAAUCUUGCGAUCUUGAGAUUAGACUUCGUUUGAUAGGUGAUUACCUGAGCGUUGCCUUUAUAGCCUCCUUUUACGGUGCGACGGUUGGUCAACGUCAAAGUAACCAGUUCUCAAACAAGUAAUCUCAAAUCACCCAGGUAUUGAGGAUUUAGUGUCUAAUAAUUUUAAUGAAAUUUACUUAUGACAGAUUUUCAUCUCUUACAGUAAAGUUUCAUAGGUCUUGUCCGAUACUAGUCUUCCCAAAGUAAGUAUCUAUGCAAAUGAUUAUGACAUUGCCAUGUCCACAUAGUUCAAGAAACAGAACUACUAGUCAUCUUGCGUUCUAAUCGUCUAACGUUUUCUAUGCGUCCAAUUUUAUAGAAAACUCCGACUAGGGACCAUUUUCAACCUUUGACAUUCAAGUUCACUUGAUAGACAUUUCUUAGUCACAGGACUGGUCCUGACAGUCUAUCUUGAAUAUAUCGUCAAAUUGAAGGGACUCAUCAUUUAAUACUAAACCAAGAUUAAAUGGAAUAUGAAAAUGAAUUUCAUAUAUGAUAAAUGUUCAACCCCAAUGUUUUACAACCAUGGGCCUCAAACCCAUCUUCUAAAACAGUUCAUGGAAUUUCAAAGCUAUGCUUGAUUUCCAGUGCUACAAUGUAAGUGUUGCUUCUCACUUGUUGCAUAGGUUUAGUUAUAUGCUUUGCCAAUCUUAAUAUCCUUUUCAUCGAAUGUUCUUCGAGAUAGAUGAUAAGAUCUUUUGAGUAUGUUUAUUUUGUGAUCUAGUCUUUCUCGCUACAGUGGUGGUUCUACGCAUUUCUCAAUGAAGAACCAUCAAGUUAGCAGACCUUUUUCUUGCUUCAAGAGUGGUUCUACGCAUUUUUCAAUGAAGAACCAUCAAGCCAGCAGAUAGGUGAUCUUCCCAAGUUCAGUGAAGAACUCUUUAACAUAAACAGCCCUGUUUUAUUGCUUCUUAGGCAAUAAGUACUUUUACUUCAACUGUUUAGGUUGCUAGUGAUGCUUUGUUUGGAUUUGCUUAUCCAAGCAGUUCACAGAUAUGUGGAAGACUUUCCAGCUGUAUCUUAGAACAUAGAAAUUAAUAUUUUAAUGUCCCACGCAACAACUCAUGGUCUCCAAUCCAUGUUGCCAUUUCGAAACACAAUGCUCUUUAACUCGUCCUUGUCAAUGGUUAACUCCAAAGGGUCUUGCUUGAUCCUUUGCCAGUGUUUAUGCGUGUAGCAUCAAUAUUUAGCAUAUCUUUAUUUCCUUGAAUCAAGAACUAUUCCUAUGUACCUUUUCAAGUACCAUAAGUGUUCUUGAUCUCAAUCUAGUUGAUCUUCACUUAGAUCAAUAGAGAUUGGUAUAUGUUCGUCAUGCCUAAAGUCAUACGAUACAUUUUUGGCGAUCCUCAUAUUAUAUCAUACAUGAUAAAUUCUUUUGCGGAAUAAUUCCCAAUUGAAUUCUAUUCAUGUAACUUUAGCUCAUUCAAUUUUCAGUAGAUACUGAAUCCAGCUAAAUUCUUUGACAUAUAAUAUAGGUUAAGAAUCUCACUUAGAUCCUUUGAUGUUUUAACUUAGUAAAUGCUUAUACAUAGUUCAAACAUUCUUUUACUUAGAUUUAUUCUCAUGGGUCGAAUAUUUUCAAUGGAGUAUUUCGUGUUUGAUUUAGUAAAUGCCAUUACUUAAUCCAAAACAAUAUUAUAAGAUCUUUGUAAAUAGAUCUUAGUACCCAGUAUGUACUAAGUUUCGCCUUGGUCCAUCAUUGAUGAAUAAUCUCAAAUCUAAGUAUUUAGCAUUUGAAUGUUAUUUCACAAUAGAGAGAUAUGUGUGUGAUACACAUAGGACCAAUUAAGU